UACGGGGGGUGCGAGCGUUGUCCGGAAUCACUGGGCGUAAAGGGCGCGUAGGUGGUUUGAUAAGGGUGUGGUGAAAGUCCGGAGCUCAACUCCGGAUCUGCCGUGCCGACUGUCAAACUCGAGGGCUGUAGAGGCAGACGGAAUUCCGGGUGUAGCGGUGGAAUGCGUAGAGAUCCGGAGGAAGACCGGUGGCGAAGGCGGCCCGCUGGGCAGUGGCUGACGCUGAGGCGCGACAGCGUGGGGAGCAAACAGG
rnacentral:rRNA from 1 species